AAUGAACGUUGGCGGCGUGGAUUAGGCAUGCAAGUCGCGCGACAAGGAACCUUCGGGUUCUGGAGGAGCGGCAAACGGGGUAGUAAGGCAUCGGAACGUACCCUCUUGUUGGGAAUAGCCGCGGGAAACUGCGAGUAAUGCCCAAUAAUCCCUACGGGGCAAAGGUCCGCCGCAGGAGGAGCGGCCGAUGUGAUACCAGCUAGUUGGUGAGGUAAUGGCUCACCAAGGCUUAGACGUCUAGGGGGUGUGAGAGCAUGGCCCCCACCACUGGGACGUGAGAUACUGCCCACGACACCUACCGGGUGGGCUGCAGUCGAGAAUCUUCGGCGAAUAGGGCGGAAAGACCUCGACCGACGCAACGACCGCCGUGCGGGAGUGAA
rnacentral:rRNA from 1 species